rnacentral:tRNA from 1 species
GCCGCUAUCGUCUAAUGGUCAGGACGCCAGGUUCUCAUCCUGGCAAUCGGGGUUCGAUUCCCCGUAGCGGUACCA